rnacentral:rRNA from 1 species
GACGAACGCUGGCGGCGUGCUUAACACAUGCAAGUCGAACGGAGUGGCGAAAGGGUGAGUAACACGUGGGUGAUCUGCCGUGCACUUCGGGAUAAGCUUGGGAAACUGUGUGUAAUACCGGAUAGCGCAAGCUGAGCUCGGGUCCUGUCAGCUUGUUGGUGGGGUAAUGGCCUACCAAGGCGGAGAAGGGUAGCCGGCAUGAGAGGGUGGACGGCCACAAUGGGACUGCGAUACGGGCCAGACUGGUACGGGAGGCAGCGGUGGAGAAUAUUACACAAUGGGCGGGAGCCUGAUACAGCGACGCCGCGUGGGGGAUGAAGUCCUUCUGGUUGUAAACUCCUUUGGACAGGGACGCGGUACCUGUAUAAGAAGCACCGGCUAACUACGUGCCAGCAGCCGCGGUAAUAC